GGGGGACAGGGUGACAGGUGGUGCAUGGUUGUCGUCAGCUCGUGUCGUGAGAUGUUGGGUUAAGUCCCGCAACGAGCGCAACCCUCGCCUCUAGUUGCCAGCAUUCGGUUGGGCACUCUAGAGGGACUGCCGGCGACAAGUCGGAGAAGUGGGGAUGACGUCAAAUCAUCAUGCCCCUUAUGACCUGGGCUACACACGUGCUACAAUGGGCGGUACAAAGGGCUGCGAACCCGCGAGGGGGAGCGAAUCCCAAAAAGCCGCUCUCAGUUCGGAUUGCAGGCUGCAACUCGCCUGCAUGAAGCCGGAAUCGCUAGUAAUCGCGGAUCAGCAUGCCGCGGUGAAUACGUUCCCGGGCCUU
rnacentral:rRNA from 1 species